rnacentral:rRNA from 1 species
GAAUCUGCCAUUUAGUGGGGGACAACAUUCCGAAAGGAAUGCUAAUACCGCAUACGUCCUACGGGAGAAAGCAGGGGAUCUUCGGACCUUGCGCUAAAUGAUGAGCCUAAGUCGGAUUAGCUAGUUGGUGGGGUAAAGGCCUACCAAGGCGACGAUCUGUAGCGGGUCUGAGAGGACGAUCCGCCACACUGGGACUGAGACACGGCCCAGACUCCUACGGGAGGCAGCAGUGGGGAAUAUUGGACAAUGGGCGGAAGCCUGAUCCAGCCAUGCCGCGUGUGUGAAGAAGGCCUUUUGGUUGUAAAGCACUUUAAGCGAGGAGGAGGCUACUAGUAUUAAUACUACUGGAUAGUGGACGUUACUCGCAGAAUAAGCACCGGCUAACUCUGUGCCAGCAGCCGCGGUAAUACAGAGGGUGCGAGCGUUAAUCGGAUUUACUGGGCGUAAAGCGUGCGUAGGCGGCUGAUUAAGUCGGAUGUGAAAUCCCCGAGCUUAACUUAGGAAUUGCAUUCGAUACUGGUCAGCUAGAGUAUGGGAGAGGAUGGUAGAAUUCCAGGUGUAGCGGUGAAAUGCGUAGAGAUCUGGAGGAAUACCGAUGGCGAAGGCAGCCAUCUGGCCUAAUACUGACGCUGAGGUACGAAAGCAUGGGGAGCAAACAGGAUUAGAUACCCUGGUAGUCCAUGCCGUAAACGAUGUCUACUAGCCGUUGGGGCCUUUGAGGCUUUAGUGGCGCAGCUAACGCGAUAAGUAGACCGCCUGGGGAGUACGGUCGCAAGACU